rnacentral:ncRNA from 1 species
AACGCGGGAGCCCACCACAAGGGCUGAGAGGGUGCCGAGAUGGCACCGACCGCCUGAACCUGUCCGGGUAAUGCCGGCGAAGGGAGUGGUUGA